rnacentral:lncRNA from 1 species
ACAUCGUCUCUCUACCUUCUCGAUGGAUAGACCAGGGGAGCCGGAUGUUCAACUCGGCCUUCCCCGCCUUCCAUCAAUGGAUUUUUAUAGUCAGGGUUAAAGACCGAGAGGCCCUCUGCAUGUUCAGAUAUGGACCAGUAAACCAACAAAAGCAUAAUAUAACAUAAUUACAUUGCAGAGUGUACUAACAUAAUUAUAUUCCGAAAUAAACUCAAUAGUAGAACAAUUUAGAGGGUUAGAAUAGUGCACAUAUAUAUGUCAGUAGCGCAAAAACUAUUUAGCCAACUUUACUAAUAUUGUAGAAAUUAACUUCAGUGUACUAACAUAACUACUUUGGAUAUAAGCAGUCAACCACGAAUUAAACAUGACUUGCAUUUCUAAACGGUCCAACAAAAUCAGAUCAAUCAUGAAUAGUACACAAAAAAGACAAAGCUUUUAACCAUAGCUAAUGCUUAACCUUCUUCUUCAUAAUCAAGACAUUCUGGAUGCCUCCUAGAUGUGCUCCACGUCCAACCAGAAAUGGUGAGAUAGAAUAACCCCUACACCAGCCAAAACAUCCAACGCACAACCCUGCAAAAAACGCAAUACCAUCCAAGAUUCAGUAGUUUGAUUAUAUUUCAUUUGGUAAAAAGUACUCUUACGGUGAAAAAUUGCAUGUUAGAAUGUCGCAUGAAGCAUCCAUAGACAAGUGGGUUCAAUCACAAGAGAAUCCAACUGGAAAUCUCUACUGCAACCAAGUUGUGAUUAAAAGUUAAGUAAUUAACGGAUUUACGCUCAUAAACAUCUAUGGCAUGAUGGAUAAGUCUGUGUACUAGGGUCCUUGUGGGGCUGCAGCACAUGGUCCUUGUGGCAGUUAGGAGGAUAAAGUCUUGGACCAUCAAGGACUGACUGUUAGGAUAGAGUUCUGUUCUUGACCAUCAAGGACUGUCAGUUAGCAUCUUAAACUAGCAUCUUAGACUGGCAUCUUAGCAGCAUCUUAGCAUAUGCCUUGGCUGGCUAGCAGCCUAUAAAUAUGUAUCCCCAACCCCUCAGGUUGGCAUGGCAUUGUGUGAGAAAUAAACCAACGAAAAUUGUCCCAACUCUCCUAGUGUCAUCCACAACUAUCAAUGCUCAGGUUGAAAGGUCUAACAAGUGGCACCAGAGCCUCGUUAACCUGCACCCUGAGCAUUUCCUGUGAGCAGCCCAAGUCGGUAGCAGCACCUGCUCCGUCUGCCUCUGGUUACCUUCCUCCCUCCGGACUGUCGAGCAGCAGCUCGUCUUCAUCAGCCUCCUCUUCACGCAACAGCCCCCCUGCAGCGAGCCAUGUCUGCAGGUCGCUCUCAGCACACGGCUACCUCGAGCAUGCGGCGCCGGCAAGAGGCCGAGCGCGCCGUGGCAGAGGAGCGUGAGCGAGCGGCUGUAGCAGCGGCUGCUGCGGCGGCAAGAGUGUCGAGGCUGGCUGCAGCGGAGCUGGCAGCAGCCAGAGCGGAGGUAGAAGCAGCCAGGGCGGAGGUAGAAGCAGCAGCAGCAGCAGAAGCAGCCCGUGAGGCUACGGCAGAUGCCAAGGCACUCCGCGGCAGUCCCGGCAGCUCCAGCAGCUCCGCGCCUGCGGACGACGGCGCCGACGCAGAUCGCGCCAAAGUGGCACAGGAGCGGACGGCGCAGUGGGCAGCCGAGCACGCCCGCGCUCCAGGUGGAGGCGCGCACCGCGACGGCGGCUGCAACGACCAGGACCGCGGCCUCUACGAGGUCCGGACUGUGGUCAGGGAUGUUGGUUCCAGUGUUGGGUGGCCUACCCUCACUAAAACCAACUACGUCGAGUGGGCCGGGAUCAUGAAGGUCAGGCUCCAGGUGCGGCGCAUGUGGGAGGUAGUCCAGGACAGCAACGUCGACCACCUAGAGGAUCGACGGGCGCUGGACGCCCUCAUCGCCGCAGUCCCGCCCGAGAUGCAGUUCUCGCUUUCCAACAAGCGGACUGCCAAGGAGGCUUGGGACGCCAUCGCCGCAGCACGCAUCGGCAGCGACCGUGCUCGCAAGUCCAUCCUGCAGGCACUUCGUAAGGAGUGGGAGAACCUGGGCUUCAAGCCAGGUGAGGACGUUGAUGACUUUGCUCUCCGUCUCAACACUCUGCUGCAGAAGAUGGUGAAGUUUGGCGAUGCCACCUACACCGAGGAGAGAGCUGUCGAGAAGCUUUUUCGGUGCAUUCCCGAGAAGUACAAGCAGAUGGCUCGCUCGAUUGAGUCGUUGCUAGACCUCUCCACGAUGACGAUCGAGGAGGCGAUAGGUCGACUCAAGGUCGUCGACACCGACGAGCCACAGCCCCCCUCGGGGCCCGUCACCACCGGCGGGAAGCUGCUCCUAACUCGGGAGCAGUGGGAUCCCAGCCUUGGUGACAAGAAGAAGGGGGAGCCUUCCUCCUCGACGGGCGGCCGCAAGCGUGGCAAGCAGCGUAAGGCGCGAAGAGGCCCCCUGGGCAGGGCACAAGGACGUGCCGAAGGUGACGCCCGCGGAGGCGCCAAGGACGGCGCCGCUGGCAAGCCCAGGCCGGCACAAGACAACAGUUGCCACAACUGUGGCCGGUUUGGCCAUUGGGCCAAUGAGUGUCGGCAACCACGACAAGGCCAGGCGCACGUCGCACAGGCGAAGGAGGAGACGGCUCUGUUCAUGGCGCAUGCAAGCAUUGAGCUACCCUCGGCGACUCCAGUCGCGAAGGCUUUCAUCCACCUCGAUGAGCCAAAAGCACACGCUCUUCUCGGCGAUGGCUCCGGGAAGGACAAGGCUACGGGGUGGUGCCUCGACACCGGCGCCACCCACCACAUGACCGGUCGAAGGGAAUUCUUCGCCGAGCUCGACUCCGAUGCGCGAGGCUCCGUCAAGUUCGGGGAUGCCUCCGCUGUGGAGAUAAAGGGCGUCGGCUCCGUCAUCUUCACCACCAAGAUGGGAGAGCACCGGCUGCUCACCGGUGUCUACUACAUCCCCGCGCUAAGGAAUUCCAUCAUCAGCUUGGGACAGCUGGAUGAGAACGGCUCACGCGUGCUGAUUGAGCAUGGGGUCCUACGCAUCUGGGAUCGCCAGCGUCGCCUUCUCGCCAAGGUGCCCAGAGGUGAAAAUCGACUCUACGUCCUUGAUGUGGAGGUGGCACAACCGGUCUGUCUCGCUGUCCGUCGAGACGACGAGGCGUGGCAGUGGCAUGAGCGCUUUGGGCACCUUCACUUUGAGGCCCUGAAGCGUCUAAGUGCCAAGGAGAUGGUGCGAGGCCUGCCAUGCCUCGACCAUGUGGAGCAGUUCUGCGACAUCUGCGUACUGACAAAGCAGAGACGACUCCCCUUUCCCCAACAGGCGAGUUUUCGGGCUAAGGAGAAGCUGGAGCUCGUGCACGGAGACCUGUGCGGCCCGAUGACGCCAGCCACACCAGGAGGUCGACGCUACUUCCUGCUGCUCGUCGACGAUCUCUCCCGCUACAUGUGGGUGAUGAUCCUCGGCAGUAAGGGAGAAGCGGCGGACGCCAUCAGGCGCGCGCAGGUUGGUGUGGAGGCGGAGAGCGGCCGCAAAUUGCGCGUGUUGCGCACUGACAACGGCGGCGAGUUCACGGCGGCUGAAUUCGCGUCGUACUGCGCCGAUGAGGGCAUCCAGCGCCACUACUCCGCGCCGUACAGCCCGCAGCAAAACGGCGUCGUCGAGCGGCGCAACCAGACGGUUGUGGGGAUGGCUCGGGCUCUCCUCAAGCAGAGAGGGAUGCCGGCUGUCUUCUGGGGAGAGGCGGUGCUAACGGCCGUCUACAUCCUCAACCGCUCUCCUACUAAGGCACUCGACGGCAGAACUCCGUACGAGGUCUGGCAUGGGCGGAAGCCGGCGGUCUCUCAUUUGCGGGUCUUUGGCUGCCUUGCGUUCGCCAAGGAGCUCGGCCACAUCGGCAAGCUCGACGACAGGAGCACUCCGGGAGUCUUCAUCGGCUACGCGGAGGGCUCAAAGGCCUACCGCAUCCUCGACCCAAAGACACAACGUGUGCGCACAGUGCGAGACGUCGUGUUCAACGAAGGGCGAGGGUGGCAAUGGGACAAGGCGGUGGACGACGGCUCGACGCCGACGUAUGACGACUUCAUUGUCGAGUACGCUCACUUCAAGGAAGCUGGGGGAGCAAGCAGCUCCUCUUCACCGGGCACGUCUACCCCGGCCCCCAAAACUACAUCGACUCCGGCGCCUGCUACACCGACGACACCACAACCAGCGACGCCGCAUACUCCAGCCCCGGCGGUCGCCACUCCGGGCUCGUCUUCAUCAGCACCAGCUCACGCAGAGCACAACCCGAUGAAGUUCGCUUCCCCGCUCACUCACGACGAGGAGCGGGUCGACGCAUGGUAUGGAGGCUAACCGCUGCGGUACCGUACGAUGGAUAAUGUGCUCGGCGACCAGCCGGUGCCAGGACUGGUGCCACGUGACCUGGAGGCGCACCUACAGCUCGUGUGUGAAGACGGCGAACCACGGUCCUUUGCAGAGGCCGAGAGAGACGCGACAUGGCGCGCCGCGAUGAAGUUGGAGAUGGAUGCGGUCGAGCAAAACCGCACCUGGGAGCUUGCUGAUCUCCCUCGAGGUCACCGCGCAAUCACCCUUAAGUGGGUGUUCAAGCUGAAGAGGGAUGGAGCCGGCGCCAUCAUCAAGCACAAGGCUCGUUUGGUGGCCCGAGGCUUCUUGCAGCAGGAAGGAGUCGACUUCGACGACGCUUUCGCUCCCGUGGCACGGAUGGAGUCCGUGCGACUUCUCCUUGCGCUGGCUGCCCAGGAGGGCUGGCGUGUCCACCACAUGGACGUUAAGUCGGCAUUCCUCAAUGGCGACUUGAAGGAGGAAGUCUACGUGCAUCAGCCACCGGGGUUUACGAUUCCCGGCCAGGAGGGCAAGGUGCUCCGCCUGCGCAAGGCUCUCUAUGGCCUGCGGCAGGCACCCAGGGCGUGGAACGCCAAGCUGGACUCCACGCUGAAGAAGAUGGGUUUCGAGCAGAGCCCGCAUGAGGCUGCCGUCUACCGACGGGGGAGUGGAGGAAAUGCCCUGCUGGUGGGCGUCUACGUUGACGACCUGGUGAUCACCGGCACCAAAGAUGCAGAGGUGGCGGCGUUCAAGGAAGACAUGAAGGCCAUGUUCCAGAUGAGUGACCUGGGGCUCCUCUCCUAUCUAGGGAUUGAGGUGCACCAGGACCACUCCGGGAUCGCGCUUCGACAGUCCGCCUACGCCAAGCGCAUCGUUGAGCUAGCUGGGCUCACCGACUGCCAUCCAGCUCUCACUCCGAUGGAGGAGAGGCUGAAACUAAGUCGCGACAGCACGACGGAGGAAGUGGAUGCUACGCAGUACCGACGCCUUGUGGGGAGCCUUCGCUACCUCACUCACACACGGCCGGACUUGGCAUUCUCCGUCGGCUAUGUCAGUCGGUUCAUGGAGCGACCAACGUCGGAACACCAGCAGGCAGUGAAGAGGAUCGUCCGCUACAUAGCAGGGACCCUCGACCACGGCCUCCAUUACCCUAGGUGCCCUGGGGCGGCACACUUCGUCGGGUACAGCGACAGCGACCACGCCGGCGACAUCGACACCAGCAAGAGCACGAGCGGGAUCCUCCUCUUCCUCGGCAAGUGUCUCGUGAGCUGGCAAUCAGUCAAGCAGCAGGUGGUGGCCCUGUCCAACUGUGAGGCUGAGUACAUAGCGGCCUCCACCGCCUGUACUCAGGCGCUCUGGCUUGCUCGACUGCUUGGUGAUCUUCUCGUUCAAGACACCAAAACGGUGCAGCUCCUGGUGGACAGCAAGUCCGCCCUGGCCCUGGCAAAGAACCCCGUGUUCCACGAACGGAGCAAGCACAUCCGACUGAGGUAUCACUUCAUCCGCAGCUGUGUGGAAGAAGGGAGCAUCGAGGCGAGCUACAUCAACACCAAGGAUCAGCUCGCAGACCUGCUCACCAAGCCCCUUGGGAGGGUCAAGUUCCUCGAACUCUGCUCCAGGAUUGGGAUGAUUCAACUCUCCCACAAGACGACGUACAAGACUUAGGGGGAGAAUGAUGGAUAAGUCUGUGUACUAGGGUCCUUGUGGGGCUGCAGCACAUGGUCCUUGUGGCAGUUAGGAGGAUAAAGUCCUGGACCAUCAAGGACUGACUGUUAGGAUAGAGUUCUGUUCUUGACCAUCAAGGACUGUCAGUUAGCAUCUUAGACUAGCAUCUUAGACUAGCAUCUUAGACUGGCAUCUUAGCAGCAUCUUAGCAUAUGCCUUGGCUGGCUAGCAGCCUAUAAAUAUGUAUCCCCAACCCCUCAGGUUGGCAUGGCAUUGUGUGAGAAAUAAACCAACGAAAAUUGUCCCAACUCUCCUAGUGUCAUCCACAACUAUCAAUGCUCAGGUUGAAAGGUCUAACAAGUGGCAAGGCAUGGGAAUAAAGUUGCAGAUGAAACUCCUAGGUUGAUAAUCGUCAGCUAUCGUAACAAAAUAAAGUGAUUAAAUACCAUGUAGAACAAAAUCAAUAGAGUGCGUGAGAGAAGCUUCAUGCAAAAUCAUCAGAAACAACAUGGCAGGAACAAAAGGUCUAAACUAUCAACAUUACUAAACCAAUAUCGCUUCCUCAACCAAAUAUUCAGACGCAAUCAUUAAGACAAACUGGUGAAGGCAUCGGAGUAAGCGGAGGAAGAAGGGGACAACGCGUGCCGGAAGUUGCCGAUGGGCCUUAAUGGCCUGGCCGAGCCAUCACCCUCCCCCAUGAUAUUUGGCAGUCGGCGGAGAGGUGUAAAUAUGACCAGAUGUAAAAACAAGCUCGAGCAAAUUAAUAUGGACCAACAAACUGACAAAAGCAGAAUAUAACAUAAUUAUAUUGCAGCAUGUACUAACAUAAUUAUAUUCUGGAUUAAACUCAAUAGACAACAAUUUAUAGGGUUAGAAUGAAGUGCAUGUAUAUAUCUCAGUAGCGCAAACUAUUUAGCCAACUUCACUAAAAAUGUACUCCCUCCAUCCCAUAAUAAGUAUCUCAACUUUGUACUAACUUUAGUACAAAGUUAGUAUAAAGGACACUUAUUUUAGGAAGGAAGGAGUAGAAAUUAACUUCAGUGUACUAACAUAAUUAUUUUGGAAAUACGCAAUCAACCACAAGUUAAACAUGAGAGAAAUCGAAACAUUUUAAGAAAAUAAAAAAGAGCCCAAUAGCAAGGUAGCGCAACAUGCAGCUGUAUUGACCAGCCCCUUCUAAGGAAAGGCUUUAGGAUCAGAAGUUGUGUAGUUGAUCAACAUAGAAAUAUAAAAGCCUUUCCUUCAAAUCAUUACAGCACCUCCUACAAAAGCGAAUGGGAGUUUUGUACCAAGGUGGUUCAGUUCACUUACCAAAUAAUGAACAUAUAUACUUCUCCACAUUUAGUUUUGUACUUCAUAUGUAAUAAGAAAGCUAGUGCCACACGCUUUUUUUGGAACACGGAAACCCGGCCUGAAUACAUCUGAAUCACAUAAUAAAUUUGUUGAAAUGCUUGGCAGGCACAUGAAAAACACAAAGAAAAAUAUAAUAUAUUGGUAUUUGUAUUUGAUCCACCUGGGUACAUGUAUAUUCUAAAAGAAACAGACAAGUUGCCAUGUUACCUGAUGUGCAGCUUAUCAUGUGAUACACAAAACUUCACAAAUCAUCAGGGCAUCAAGUAUUAAAGUGCAUGAGCAAGCAGAUAAACCUACUCAACAAAUUGUUUCCCAAACACUUACAACACACUGACCACAAUAUAAAACCGGUGACUAUACUGAUCUGCACCACUACAUCAUUGUAAUUUGCUCAAAUCAGCACCUAAAUUCCACACACUACCUCACUAUAUGCAGGUGAAAAGGCAUAAACCAGAAAGUGGCUAAACAAGCGAUAAAAAGAUUGGCAUACCUUGUUUGUACCCUGUAUACAGAGCUGGGGAAAUGAGAAAGUUGAGGCAGUGUUAUCGUGGAAAUCGGCAGACCUGAAAAGUAGUUAUCCAACCAAUUAGAUAGAAGACGUCGAUUUGAGUAUACCUGCACUCAAACCUUUCAUUAACAAUCAUUUUGUUGUUAAUCUGCACCAUAUGAACCCAAAGUAAGUUUUCCUCUUACUUCUGUUUUUUCAUGCAAAAGUGUAACAGAGAGAGGGUCUCUAAAAAGAGAUAGUUCAGAGGAAAGAGAGGGCACAGAGGGGAAGGGGAUUAUCUAUGAGUGGAGGUGAGGAUGGAGUUGUAUGGUUCCUCCAGUAUGAAGGGGCUCUGGCUGGGUUGCUCCACGACCUCGUGGUGCACGUUACUGCCAGCGUGCUCCGAGGCAUACCUCAUGUGCACCGGGUGGGUGCGUUCCGAGCCAUUGGGCACGCCAUCCUGAAACGCAUGCGGGGAGGCCGCACCCAUCUUAUCAGACUUAACGCACCAUGCGUGUUGCCAUUGCCGCCGACGCCAUCUUCUCGUGGUCGCAUGUC